rnacentral:rRNA from 1 species
CCCUUAGAUGUUCUGGGCCGCACACGCGCUACACUGAAGGAGGCAGCGUGUACUCCUGGAUCGAAAGAUUUGGGUAACCCGCGAAUCUCCUUCGUGCUAGGGAUUGAGGUUUGCAAUUAUCCUUCAUGAACGAGGAAUUCCCAGUAAGUGCAAGUCAUAAGCUUGCGCUGACUACGUCCCUGCCCUUUGUACACACCGCCCGUCGCUACUACCGAUUGAAUGAUUUAGUGAGGACUUCGGACUGGGACCGAUGCGGCUUUCGGGCUGCGUCGGUAUUCAGGAAAGAUGUCCAAACUGUAUCAUUUAGAGGAAGUAAAAGUCGUAACA